UACGUAGGUGGCAAGCGUUGUCCGGAUUUAUUGGGCGUAAAGGGAGCGCAGGCGGUGACUUAAGUCUGAUGUGAAAGCCCGCGGCUCAACCGUGGAAGGUCAUUGGAAACUGGUCGACUUGAGUGCAGAAGAGGGAAGUGGAAUUCCAUGUGUAGCGGUGAAAUGCGUAGAGAUAUGGAGGAACACCAGUGGCGAAGGCGGCUUCCUGGUCUGUAACUGACACUGAGGCGCGAAAGCGUGGGGAGCAAACAGGAUUAGAUA
rnacentral:rRNA from 1 species